rnacentral:lncRNA from 1 species
UUCCUCCCUGCUGGUUCCCAGCUAGCUGCCCAUCCUUAGACAAGAUGUCAUGUGUGUGUGUCUCUUGCUGGAUUCCCCAGGAAACAGACUCUGAGACAGAGAUUUGCAUGCGGGAGGUCUAUUGGAGAGCGCUCUGAGAAACAGCACUUCGAAGGGACUAAGGGAGGCAGGACUGGGCACAAAGAGAAGUUGAGGCCUCGGCCAGUCCCACAGAGCACUCUAGAGCUGAGAUGGUCCUUCAGAGUUGACCUAGAUCAAAGCCAGGGGGCAGGACCGUUGGACUUCCACACUGACCACUCAUCAGAUGGAGGGGGCAUACUCAAGGCAGCUCCGCUCAGCUAAGAACAACAAUCAGUGUGCUGAAAUCAAGGCUCCAGAAAGAACACAGCCCUACUGACACCCGGAUGUUAGCUCAAUAAGACCCGCGUUGGACUUCUAACCUGCGGAAUUGCCUCAGAUGCAAGUCCAGUGGGAGCUGGAGGGAGGAAGACAAAUCACACCGUACUCAGAGCGAUCUGUCCACUACAACUAAGUCCUGUGGCAUCGAACUGCUACAGGGUCCUCCUCCCCUAAGGCAAAAUUGUUUCCCAAGACUCUUUGCGGUCCCCUUGCCAAUAGUUUUCUGGCAUGUCCAUCACACCAAUUUGACAGAUGUGUCCAGAUACGACUGAAUCCUCCUUGGACUCAUUAGGACUCGCGCUCUAUGAAGACGGCAGUACACAAUUGGGACAAAAUAAGUGUUUCUCCUUCAAGAGGCUGCAGGAAUUCACAGAAGGGAGAUAAAGUUGAAUGGGGACAAAGACUCGGAAAGUCAGAGCACCAGGGAGCCCCUGAAAGAUUUUAAGACAUGCUACAGACUGAAUGUUUGUCUAUAGCACCAAAAUUCAUAUGUUGAAAUCCCAAUCCUAGUGUGAUAGCACUUGGAGGUGGGCCUUUGGGAGGUCCAGUGUGGGGGUUUUUUCAUCACCAAGCAAUUAACUCCAUUCCCCGCAGACACUGACCAGGUGUCCCACCAAUUUAACUCAAUUCUGACACUAUCUACCUGGAGAUUGCGGCAGAUUCCACAGACUAUGAGCUCAGUCCCACAAGACUGCCCCCACGUCAGAUGCCAAUUGCAAGUCCAGGUUGUCACCUGUGCUUCUGAAACAGUGGCUUUAAAUCAGAGGUUCACACAACUCUCUCCUUAGGUUCGAGUAGUUUGCUAGAAUGGAUCACAGAACUCAGGACACCAAUUUGCUCACUAGAUUACCAGUAAAUUACAAAGGAUGUUAAAGGAAUCGAAUGAACAG